GGGUUGCGCAUGCUCAUCUACAGAAGCGCCGCUUGGCCUUUGGACUAACCUAUCUGUCGCGCUAACGGGCCGGCGUCGCCGCCAGGGGACGCUUGGGCAGCAGGGUGGUCGCUGGGUCGUGAGCUGGCGCCGAGGACGCCGAGCGACUGCGGGACUUCUGUCAGCGUCCUGCUAUCCGGCUGCCCGCCGCGCUCCCUGGUAGUGUCCGUGGACGCGCAGGCCUUGAAGAACCUCCUCGCGGCGGGCCCCCGAGGUAACUGCUGAGGCAGAUAAUGGCGCCUGGACUGCGGUGGCGCUUGCCCUGCCGCCUGGCGGCUUUCUGCAGGGCCAGGGUAUACUUGUUUUUCUGUAAACCGACUCUUCCUUAGCACAAGAGAGGUGUCAAAGCGCCGGCGCGUCUCCAGAGCCCCGGGAGGAAGGCUGUAACGGCAGCCCCAUCGUAGACAGGGACAUUCGCAUCCCGAGCCCUGGAUCUCUGAAAAGCAGACCAGAAUUUGGAAGCUGGAAGGAACCUUAGAUCGUCCAUUCUGGGUGUCUCUCUUCGCUGGCGUUUUCCCACGAGAGGAACCUACAAGUGUCAAGGAAAAAAGGACAGCUAACCACAGGGCAGGCCACGGGCAAGAUAUCUCAGUGUUCUCCGCUCUCAGGUCAGGUCAUGAUCCCCAGGGGACCUGGAGGACUGAAUGAUGCUGCCCCCGAGGAGGCUGCUGUCUUGUCUUAGGAGGGAGAGCAGGUGAAGUCCCCAUGGGAGGAAGCACCUAGCCCCAUUCCUGCUGAGCAAGAAGAGGUGGCAGGGACCCCAGACUGGGAGAGGCCUCUGAGGACAGCAAAGAGCAUAAGGCCCUGGGACUGGUUCCCCGUGCUCAUGACAGAGCUCUGCCUGGACUGGCUCUCAGCCUCCAACAACCUCAAGACUCAGAACUGUGAAGAAAAAGUUUCCAGUAAUUCCAAGAGUUGCUGCUGCUAUAGGCCCUGCUGCUGCCUUUUGGGGCCUCCAUCUUCAGAGAGACCCAGUGUGGCUUCAUCCACACUCCCUGUCCCCACAGCUGCAGGAACAGCACUUCCUGCCACCGAGCCACUUCACCACAAUGGAUUGUCUCUGGAAGGGACAAGGGGGCCCUGGCCGGCCUUCCGACUGACUCGGUGCCAGGGGAUGGACCAACGUUCCUCUCGUGCUGACAGCCGGGCCGCACCCUGGCAAGAGGUCAUUUACAGAAAUGCUGGUGGGAACCGCUGCCAGGGAUGCUGUAGGGUCCUCUGGCAAAAGAGGUCUCAAGUGGCUUCUCAGAGUGUCUGUGGUUCUCUAUCCCAGGCUGUUCCCUAAGAGGGUCUGCCCAGGACUCAGGCCCUUCCUCUAGCAGUGGACUCUCUAGGAAUGUCCUUUCCCAAACCCUCUGCAAAUCCUGUUCCUCGGAGGCCCUACUGCAGCCCUGGCACUUCUCAGGAGCUCGCCCUGCAGAGACCCCGGCGUCCAUCGCUCUGCACCUCGCGCAGGAAGCCUGACUCCUCCUUCAGUGCCUCAUGUGUUAGGUCAAACAGCCUGAGGAAGCGAGGGUCGUCGUACUCGAAGCGGCGCCCGUAGGUGAGGGAGGCGAUCACGUUGCUCACUGCUUUAUCCAGGAG